AAAUUUAGUGGGAACCAAAUAUCAGAUUUUUCUAAACUAUUGUUCACAUCACAUCAUGUUGAAAGAAAAACGCUACGUUUUGGAUAAAUAUGUUUUUGCCUGUGAUUGAAAACAAAGACUCGAACUACUGUCUAUUAUUACUGACUAUCAUGACUGAAAUGACGACUGAGCAAUGGGAGAGCUGUCAUCAUCAUCUGUUGGAAGGUUUGUCCGUGUCAAUGACCAAACAAGACAAAGAGACGUCAAAAGUAAUAGCCUGGUUCAUAACGAAGAAGUUAUUUCUAAGUCUCGACAAAUCGAUCCGAGAAAAUAUAUCUGAUAUCUGGCCUGCAUUUAUAUGCAAUUGUCACAGAGAACAACAAAUAUUUUGUUCCAACAAAAUUCAAAUUAAUGUUGAGAUGAAUACAUUUUGUUCGCGUUUACCAGAUACUUUUUGGAAAAUUGACAUUCAUUAUAUCAUUAACGAAAACGUCCAAAAUGAAGAAGGCAGUCAUAUACACAAACGUGUACAAAAUUCAAGCUGUAAAAUUCAUUUUCCGAAUAAAACAUCUUUAUCAGGUGUGGAUGCAAAAGCUCUUUUCAUGGAACACAACCAUUUAACGUUGAUUUGCAAGUCGUCAUUUAAGUCAACUGGAUUUCUAAAAGAGAAACACCAGGUCAUUGAAAAAUCGUGUUUUCAACUAUACUGUAAAAGGAGAGGAUUUAUACCUGUAGGCGAAAAUCAUUUUCCAAGCACGUUCAAAGGGUUGCAAACGGAUGUCUUGGAGGGAAGUCCUCACUUUUAACAAAUCUGAAGGUUGGUAAUCAGGUCGGAACAGAUGAGUACAAAAGGGACACCCUUGGGGGUUUCGUUCAGGUACGAGGUGAUAAAGCAUUUUUGACAUGCCUUCACGUAUUUUUGAGCGCGGAUGAACUUGCAUCGGACAAUCUUUCACUUGAUGACGAAAAGACAUUACAGGUAAAACUAUAAAGUAAGAACGAAUCCCCACGUUUAUGCGGUAAAAUUAGAGACAUAGCAUUCGAAGUUAAUAAUGAGAAGGAAACAAACAUUGACGCAGCUUUGGUCGAAAUACAAACAGACAGUAUUGAAAACACUGAUUAUGUUGACAUACAGGGCCGACAAUUGUCCUUUAGUGAUAUAGGUUAGUAAUUUUAAGUAAUCGGAAAAGAUAUGUUGCUGACAUAAUCUAAUCAAGCAAGCAAAGAAAAUGAGUAUUCUCCUUCAAAAGAGCCAUUCGCUAUAUUUGGAGCGCCUUUAAAAAAGAAACAAAAGAUACCUAAGGGGCAUUCAAACUCAUAAGUCGAACAUGAGUUGACAAUGCCAUGGCUAAAACAGAAAAAAGACCAACAGAGAAACAACGGUACACAAAACACAACAUACAUAAAUUAAAGAUUGAGCAACAUGAACCCCACCAGAAACAAUGGGUUAUCGCAAGUGCUCCGGAAGAUUGAGCCACAUGUGGUACCCGUCGUUUUUCGCAUGUUAGUACAAACCCUGUAACAUAUUUCGCAGAGAAGCAGUAUCACCGUUGCCAGUCGAAAUAUAUAUUAAUGGGGUAUAGAACAGGUACAAUCAGGAGGUUAAGACUCAAAGUCAUUAAUAUUGUUGCAAUUGUUUUAGUUUAGGUAUAAAAAAAAUAUAAGUUGUAUUAAAAACCAUUUAUGUAUUACCUUGUUAUGAUUUAGUAAUUGCUUUGGUUAGGAAAGAGGCCGCCUAAUUUUAAAUUUACUAAAACAAUUCAAAUAUUGGAAAUACGAGUUUAAAUCAAAGAAAGCAUAAAUAAACGGCAGUCAUACAAAAAGAGCCCCGUAUUUAUAGUAAAAGAGAAAAUAAAACCAAACAUUGUAAUUACUUUUAGUAUUGCGCAAAUCAUUGCUACUAAGGCUUUUACAGACAGCCUUUUGAAAUAUUCUACAAUGUUGUCAUAUAUAUAUAUAUAUAUAACAUAUUUACAUAUCCGAUUUUACAGCCAUGAAGUCUGAGUAUCUAAAUGAUAGCUGUGUGGACUAUAGACCUCUAUGCUUUUCCACACCAAAACCAAUAUUACAUACUUUCUGUCUAGGCGCUAUGUCCGUACUUCAGAAGAGCAACACAGCCGAGGUUAAUGAAAACAAAGAUAAAAAUAUUGCUUUGGAAUCGAGGACACAUACAGCAAGGCCAUUAUCGAUGAAAUUAAAACAAAUAUGAAAAAUGUUAUCAAGUCUCUUCAAUUAAUUCCUUGAGACGUUCCUCCAGACGAACAUGCAAUUAAAAUGAAAAUUGAACAGAACUGUGAUCCUAAUAUCUCCGCAGAAAUUAAAUCAAUCGUUAUUGACGUGAUAGAAAGUAUUUAUCCAACAAUUCAAUGUGUCAAUGGUGAUGAUCUUGACAGGUUUAUCCAUGGAGUUAUAUUCUGUAAUACACAGAGUAGAUUUUCAGCCAUAAUAUGGGGAUGUCCAUAUGCAGCAAGCAUUUCUGAAGAAGACCGGUCAAAAUAUGGCUGUAAAAAGAACAUCCCGUAGAGUUUACAAUGAGCUUUACAUAUCGAAUAUACCGUUUCAGCCCGGUGAUUCAGGCACGUGUGUAUAUGUGCUGAGUCCAGUUC
rnacentral:lncRNA from 1 species